GAAUUAACGAACCAGCAUAAAAGUUAGACGGACACAAGAGAAGGCUAGCAAGAAAAACUGAGAAUCAAGACGAACAAGAAGAAUCAAGAAGAUGACGUUACUCGUCAAAGCAGUCGUGUUGCUUUGCCUCGCUAUGAUGUUCCACAUCGACAGCGAUGUCAGCGCUUACCGCAUCAGGAACAGCAUACAUCAAUGUUUUGAAGGCUGCGAGAAUCGAUACUGGGACUGUUUAGUCUUCUGUGACUUGAAAAGUUCUGCAGAACUGUGUGAAAGAAGGUGCGGUGGAAUGUUCUACGACUGUACGGCUGACUGCCCGGUCUUUUCAAGAUGAAGACUGAAAGAAUCAGACUGUCACUCAGUCAUUGAGGUCUGCACAGAAGAAGCCAGACAACGGAAGGACUUGUUAGCCUGGAGAAUUAUAAGUCUAAGAUACUUUCUGUAAGAUAUUUUUAAGAUGCCAAAUCUUUUAUACCAGACGGUUGUAGUAGACUAUUCAGUAUAUUAUGGCAAACGUCAAUUGUAUUUUAAACCAGCGGAGACUUGACCCUUAGUGUGUUAAAUGUUGUUAUGCAUGAUGUCGUAUCUUCGUCAGAAAUAACAUGAAAACGGUGGGGCUGUGCAUGUAUUCCGAAUUAAUCAGGCGGUUAUACUAAAAUUUGUAUAUCUAUUUAUUUAUUCUAGUUAGUAAGGUAAUAAAAUUUUCCUGGAAACAGUGA